AGCGAACGCUGGCGGCAGGCCUAACACAUGCAAGUCGAACGAAGUCUUCGGACUUAGUGGCGGACGGGUGAGUAACACGUGGGAACGUGCCUUUGGUACGGAAUAACUCAGGGAAACUUGAGCUAAUACCGUAUGUGCCCUUCGGGGGAAAGAUUUAUCGCCAUUGGAGCGGCCCGCGUCUGAUUAGCUAGUUGGUGGGGUAAAGGCUCACCAAGGCGACGAUCAGUAGCUGGUCUGAGAGGAUGAUCAGCCACAUUGGGACUGAGACACGGCCCAAACUCCUACGGGAGGCAGCAGUGGGGAAUCUUGCGCAAUGGGCGAAAGCCUGACGCAGCCAUGCCGCGUGAAUGACGAAGGUCUUAGGAUUGUAAAAUUCUUUCACCGGGGACGAUAAUGACGGUACCCGGAGAAGAAGCCCCGGCUAACUUCGUGCCAGCCGCCGCCGUAACAC
rnacentral:rRNA from 1 species